CGUGAAAUUGUUGAAAGGGAAGCGCUUGCCAUCAGAACCGGCGCCGGUCGAUCAACGUUCCUUCUGGUUCGUGCACUCGGCCGGCUGCCGUGCCAGCAUCGGUUGUCGCGGCGGGAGAAAGGCGGCGGGAAUGUGGCUCUCUUCGGGGAGUGUUAUAGCCCGUCGUGUCAUACCGCCAGCGG
rnacentral:rRNA from 1 species